CGGACGGGUGAGUAAUGCUUGGGAAUCUGGCUUAUGAGGGGGAUAACGACGGGAAACUGUCGCUAAUACCGCGUAGAGUCGAGAGACGAAAGUGCGGGACCGCAAGGCCGCAUGCCAUGAGAUGAGCCCAAGUGGGAUUAGGUAGUUGGUAGGGUAAAGGCCUACCAAGCCGACGAUCUCUAGCUGGUCUGAGAGGAUGACCAGCCACACCGGGACUGAGACACGGCCCGG
rnacentral:rRNA from 1 species